rnacentral:rRNA from 1 species
GCGGCCUAUCAGCUUGUUGGUGAGGUAAUGGCUCACCAAGGCAACGACGGGUAGCCGGCCUGAGAGGGCGACCGGCCACACUGGGACUGAGACACGGCCCAGACUCCUACGGGAGGCAGCAGUGGGGAAUAUUGGGCAAUGGAGGAAACUCUGACCCAGCGACGCCGCGUGCGGGAUGAAGGCCUUCGGGUUGUAAACCGCUUUCAGUAGGGAAGAAGCGAAAGUGACGGUACCUACAAAAGAAGCACCGGCUAACUAUGUGCCAGCAGCCGCGGUAAUACAUAGGGUGCAAGCGUUGUCCGGAAUUAUUGGGCGUAAAGAGCUCGUAGGUCGUUUGUUACGUCGGAUGUGAAACCUGAGGCUCAACCUCAGGCCUGCAUUCGAUACGGGCAAACUAGAGUUUGGUAGGGGAGACUGGAAUUCCU